GUUUGAGCUGGUUGCUCCACCACCUGGCUCUCAUCACCCAUUCUUGAGUUUGUAACUCAGUCAAAUUUUGCUGCCUGUGCGACUUUCUGAAGCACACGAAUCUCACCUUUAGAGAGUUUAUCACACAGUGAUAUCUGAGUGAAAUCAAUUGCAAAAUUCAAACAGGAAGCAUGCACAGUU